CUGACAAUGAACCCUCUACAUAGCUUAGAAAGCAUAAAUAUUUGUGUGUUACAUCUCUAGCCCUUGUUUUAAUGGGCAUACGAACAGCCAUUGUACCAGAAUGUUAAAUAUACGAGCUUGUAUGGUAAACAGGACUAUGCAGUUUUGGACGGUGUAAAAGAAUAUGAUCUUUCUAGUCCUGCAUACAAGACAUGUACUCGUGAUAUUUGGUGUUUAAAUUCGUGAAAAAUCAAUUUAAAUUUUCAUGUUACCAAAUUCCAGCCUUGAGGAUUGACAAGUUUGAUUAGAGAACCUUAGUAAUUGUUUGUUUGAAUGACUGGAAUAUAUUACAUUACAUUAGUCCUGUUGUCCUAUAUAUGUUCAAUUGUUUUUCCCCAAAUUAAAAUAUUUUGGCGGGCUUAAUUAAAGUUUUUUCCUGCCAAAUUUACACUC
rnacentral:lncRNA from 1 species